UACGUAGGGGGCAAGCGUUGUCCGGGUUUACUGGGCGUAAAGAGCGUGUAGGCGGCCAAACAGGUCCGUUGUGAAAACUGGAGGCUUAACCUCCAGACGUCGACGGAAACCGUAUGGCUAGAGUCCGGAAGAGGAGAGUGGAAUUCCUGGUGUAGCGGUGAAAUGCGCAGAUAUCAGGAAGAACACCCGUGGCGAAAGCGGCUCUCUGGAACGGUACUGACGCUGAGACGCGAAAGCGUGGGGAGCGAACAGG
rnacentral:rRNA from 1 species